ensembl:lncRNA
GGCACAGAAGAAGUUUCACUUGAUUACCCCACCAUCCAGCCCAGUGAGCUACCUCCAGACUCCCUCUCCACCCUGGUCUGGGCCCCGGGACACUGCCCUGUCCGAACGAUAUCACUCAAGGUCCAUCCCGUGGAAAUGCCGACAAGAGAUGGGAGUGCGGAAGAGAGUGGAGCAAGGCUGACUCCCAACUCUGACCCCAGCUGCUCUGGUCCUGAAAGCCUCGGCUCCUGUCCUGGCCUUCAUCUACACUGACAGCUGCUUCUAGGUCCUGGAGCAUCCUCUCCCCUUCUCGUUCAGAGACCCUGACCAAUGGCCCAGGCUCCUCUUUGGGUUCACAGCAUUUGCCAGCAUUAGAAGCACAUCCUUCAAGACUCCCCAUUUCCAAGAAUCCUCGCCAGAUUGUCCUUAAAAUACAUGUCUGGACUUACUUUCCACACACCAUUUAGCCUGUGUCAUCCUCUCCCUCUCACUCCGGACAGCAAUCCAUCCCCAAGACUCUGCCCACCAGCCCAGGGCAGGUGCGAGCUCUCCCUAAACCCCCUCUGUGCUUCCCUCAACAGCUAGCACAAGUCGUAUGCUCUCAGAAGAAGUUUGAGAGACCAAUAAACAUUCCCUCCCUUGCUCACACCCAGAGAACAUCACUUCAGCACUUUCGUUUGAAACACCAAUGGUUUUUCAUACUGACUUUUUCUCAGUCCAUGACUCUCAAGAGGGCCUGGCCUGGGGAUGUGCCUGCCAUGGUCUCUCCCCCACGGUCCACCAGGGAAUGCAGAGCAACACAGAAGACUGAGCCUCAGGUGCCUAGUGCCUCAGGAUUCCUCUUCUGGACUGAUCAGACUCAGCCAAUCACUGGAAAGAGGCUCCUGUUGAAAAAGCUGCAGCCCUCUUCGGCUCCCUGACUGCACCUCUCCCCACCAUGCUGGGAGGUCAAGACGGAUGAGGGCGGGCGCCUCUCUGGAGCCAGGUCUAAUCAGAGAUACAGCUUCCAGAUGAAUCACCUUUGCAAGGCCUCCUUGCCAUGCCCCUUUGAAUUAAAAGAGCUCCCUCUACUAACAUAUUAAUUAAAAUGAAAUAUUAAUAAGCUGACCUCUAUUAUUUAUCAGCUGUUUGGGGAGAAAAGAAAAAUAUUGAGAUCCAAAGAGAAAUCAAUUUCCCCAAAACCGCCCUUCCCUGAGCAGACUGAUUCGUGUCACAUAAUAAAGAGAUAAGCUUAUCGGCUGCAUCAGUUCAAAGACGUGUGCUGUAAAUGUUGAUUUUGAACCAAUAAGAAGAUUAUAAGCACUGUCAUAAAAUAUCUUUCCGGGAUGUAAAUUAUUCAAAGCCCUCCGUGGGCAGACACAGUGUCUCAUGCCUCAGUGAUCCCCGUUCUCUGCAAUACAUUUCACUUAUUAAAGUCAGAGAGGGCCUCUGUUGAUAAAGCCCCCUAAAUAAAUGAUAACCUUCAUCUCCGUCUUCUAAAUUAUUUCCACGACUAGAAUUCGGAAUGUUUGUGCCAGAGGUGCCACAAAGUACGGCCUUCUUGAGUGGGGUAUGUCUUCAUUGGGAAGCUCGGUUCAGGUAAGGGCUGAACCCCUAGAUUCUUGGAGCUGGGCAGUGGCUACAGUAAUGCAUACAACCCUGGGGGCUCAUCUUCACAAGGAGGGAAGGGGUGAUGCAAGAUGCAAGGGACAAUAUGAUGAAAAGGCCUGGACCCCUAACCUGCCUCGCUAGUCAGGCUGAGUUGUUAUCCAACCUGAGUGAGUUGGACAACCAACUCCAAAAGUGAGUCUCUUGUUACAGGGAGGUGGGUAUAAUACGUGUGCCCACCAGGCACAGGGU